UUGGUCAAAUUUGCGGUAAAAUUGCGGUGAUUGUAUAAAAUUGGAAGGCUGCGAAAAAAUCACACUGAUUGGUUAAAUCUGCGUCGAUAGUUGCGAUCGCGAAAUCGCAACUUCCUGGAGGGACUGUAUUGUCUUGCACAUAAUGAAGCAGCUUCAUGCCCUUGCUACUCAAGCAUUCCUGUCCAGCAGUGAAACCUUAACUCUUUGAGGGAUAUGUAUGAGCAGGCGACUGUGGAAGUUUUCAGGAGCAGGCUGUCCUUACAUUUUCUGGAAAUUCUCAACAACGCAUGCACUUAAAACAAAAAAGCUGUGGAAUUUUAAGGCAACUGUCUGCACUUGAUUUUUGAGUUUUGAGGCUCACUAGAAAUCUUACAUUGGAGGCAACUGAAAAUGUUCCUUUGUUAGUGCACAUUACUGCACCAUUUUACCACUUGCAAGGUAGCUAGCUUAUUUUCCAGGCGGCUAAAUAUUGGUAAUGACCAUGCCUUAUUAAACUAACUAAACAAAUUAAAGUUACAUUAACUGGUUAUUACCUCACCAUCAAUUGACCAACUGUAAAGCUAAAGUUUCAAUGCAAUACUCAAACAAAUUACUCACCUUUAGGGCGAUAAAAUCCACACAGGACAGGAGAGAGGGCGCGACAUGUGGGGAAUUGAAAGUGUGGAAGACCCCUGUAGAUUUGAGUUGGAGACCCUGUGAUGAUUGCAACAUGUUUGUGGCUUUUUAGUUGGUUUCUUUUGUGGAGUUUCUCUCCUUCUCUCAUAGAUUGGGCGGCUCCUCCCACACCUGCACCUUCACACCUGGACCUGAUCUCUGCAAUCACCACCUGCAUUUAGGCCCUGCUCGGAGGCUUCUCCAGUGCCAGAUUAUUCCUGCAUCUGAAGUGUGCCUCCACGAGCCCCCAGUGCUUUUUCCCUAUCGCUGCCACACUGCCUCUCUCUCUACCUGGAUUUCUUCCCCAGCCUCCACCUCUAGUCCUCACGCCUUGGACCCUGGAUCCCUUCCCUGCUCCCUUUGUUCCAUUCAAUAAAUUCACAGAACUGCU